rnacentral:rRNA from 1 species
AACGCUAGCUACAGGCUUAACACAUGCAAGUCGAGGGGCAGCAUGGUCUUAGCUUGCUAAGGCCGAUGGCGACCGGCGCACGGGUGAGUAACGCGUAUCCAACCUGCCUUACACUCUUGGACAGCCUUCUGAAAGGGAGAUUAAUACAAGAUGUUAUCAUGAGUAAGCAUUUUCGCAUGAUUAAAGGUUUACCGGUGUAAGAUGGGGAUGCGUUCCAUUAGAUAGUAGGCGGGGUAACGGCCCACCUAGUCUUCGAUGGAUAGGGGUUCUGAGAGGAAGGUCCCCCACAUUGGAACUGAGACACGGUCCAAACUCCUACGGGAGGCAGCAGUGAGGAAUAUUGGUCAAUGGACGAGAGUCUGAACCAGCCAAGUAGCGUGAAGGAUGAAGGUUCUAUGGAUUGUAAACUUCUUUUAUACGGGAAUAAACGGAUCCACGUGUGGAUUUUUGCAUGUACCGUAUGAAUAAGGAUCGGCUAACUCCGUGCCAGCAGCCGCGGUAAUACGGAGGAUCCGAGCGUUAUCCGGAUUUAUUGGGUUUAAAGGGAGCGUAGGCGGAUUGUUAAGUCAGUUGUGAAAGUUUGCGGCUCAACCGUAAAAUUGCAGUUGAUACUGGUUUCCUUGAGUGCAGUUGAGGCAGGCGGAAUUCGUGGUGUAGCGGUGAAAUGCUUAGAUAUCACGAAGAACUCCGAUUG